AAGAGGGAGGAGGGACCUACCAAACACUUUUCUCUUGUUCUGGAAGAACACUUCUUGUUUGUUUUCACUUGUUUUGGAAGAAGACGGCUGCCAUGUCAUGAGGACACUCAAGAAACCCUGUGAAGAGGUUUCUGUGUUGAGAAACUGAGGCCUCCAACCAGCAGCCAUGUGAGCAAGCCAUCUUUUAAUCCAAUCCUCUAGCCCAAAUUAAGUUCCCAGAUGGGUGCAGUCAUAGCCAACAGCUUGAAUCCAACACCAGGAGAGAAACAAAGCAAUCUGAAAGGUCAUUUAAAGGUGAUACGGCAUCAAGAACUGCAUCUCUGAGUCACCACUUAGAGGAAACACACCCUGCAAUGUCACCCAAGCAUCUGCCUUCCCAGUAAUAUCUGCACUGGAUUAAUCUGUGGGCAAGAAGGGAACUUUUAUUCUGUAAAGCUCCUGAGAUUUUGAUGUUAUUUGUUACAGCUGUUAGCAUCAGUUAUUUCAUUCAGAGAUGGAACAUGAAAA
rnacentral:lncRNA from 1 species